AGGUGGAGGAGUUCUUGGAAGGGUUCUUAGAAGCCAGGACUAGAGGUGGCAUUCAUAAUUUUUACUCACAUUCUAUUGCUGGAGCUUAAUCACAGGGUGAUCUAAACACAAGGAAGGCUGAGAAAUUAGGUUUCUUCAUGAAUCCAGGAAGAAAGAAAUAGAAUCAUCUUCUCCACAGGGACCCAUCCUGUUGUUCAGCAGGCAAAUUGACAGAGAGCAGUGUUGCGUGCUGGGCAGGGGCUGGAGAUCAAGACCUACCCAUUGUGAUGAAUAAAUCCAGGCUCUCAGCAAUGCAGGGAGAAAAAGUUUUGUCUAUCAACACUGCAGCAACCAGUCUCUUAGCACAGGCACCAGCCCUGGAGUUCAUGUCCUCAUCAAAGGAUGGAAAGAAGCAAAGCUCAAAUCAGCUUGGGAAGGACCUUACCUAGUGCUCCUGACCACUGUAACCAUCAUCCAGACAGCAGAGAAAGGAUGGACUCAUUAUACCCGAGUCAAAGUGUUGCCACCUCCACAGUCAUGGGCCAUUGUUCCAGGGGAAAGCCCUACCAAAUUAAAGCUAAGAAAAACUUAUCACCUUUC
rnacentral:lncRNA from 1 species